GCAGUCGAACGGUAACAGGAAGCAGCUUGCUGCUUUGCUGACGAGUGGCGGACGGGUGAGUAAUGUCUGGGAAACUGCCUGAUGGAGGGGGAUAACUACUGGAAACGGUAGCUAAUACCGCAUAACGUCGCAAGACCAAAGAGGGGGACCUUCGGGCCUCUUGCCAUCGGAUGUGCCCAGAUGGGAUUAGCUAGUAGGUGGGGUAAAGGCUCACCUAGGCGACGAUCCCUAGCUGGUCUGAGAGGAUGACCAGCCACACUGGAACUGAGACACGGUCCAGACUCCUACGGGAGGCAGCAGUGGGGAAUAUUGCACAAUGGGCGCAAGCCUGAUGCAGCCAUGCCGCGUGUAUGAAGAAGGCCUUCGGGUUGUAAAGUACUUUCAGCGGGGAGGAAGGGAGUAAAGUUAAUACCUUUGCUCAUUGACGUUACCCGCAGAAGAAGCACCGGCUAACUCCGUGCCAGCAGCCGCGGUAAUACGGAGGGUGCAAGCGUUAAUCGGAAUUACUGGGCGUAAAGCGCACGCAGGCGGUUUGUUAAGUCAGAUGUGAAAUCCCCGGGCUCAACCUGGGAACUGCAUCUGAUACUGGCAAGCUUGAGUCUCGUAGAGGGGGGUAGAAUUCCAGGUGUAGCGGUGAAAUGCGUAGAGAUCUGGAGGAAUACCGGUGGCGAAGGCGGCCCCCUGGACGAAGACUGACGCUCAGGUGCGAAAGCGUGGGGAGCAAACAGGAUUAGAUACUCUGGUAGUCCACGCCGUAAACGAUGUCGACUUGGAGGUUGUGCCCUUGAGGCGUGGCUUCCGGAGCUAACGCGUUAAGUCGACCGCCUGGGGAGUACGGGCCGCAAGGUUAAAACUCAUAUGAAUUGACGGGGCCCGCACAAGCGG
rnacentral:rRNA from 1 species